GGCAGCCAGGAGCUGCUGGGUGGGCGCGGGCGUCCCGGGGCGCGGUGCGACCCAGAGCCCCUCGCGGAACCCGCCUGGGCUGUGCAGGGGACAACGCGUUCGGCUGUCGAGGGUGGGGGAGCCCUGUGUGUGUGGUGGGGGUGGCAUCCGAUGGAUCCCGGGGGCCUGCGGAGGAGGUGGGCAUCUCGGCGCCACCCGGUGCGCGCCCCGAGCGAGGGCAUCUCCCCUCGAGACCAGCCCGCGGAGCUGCGCGAGGCGUGGGGCAUCUUUUUUAUGCGGAUUUAAGCUGGAAAGCGCCACACCAAGCUGUUAACAGGAACUGCUUCCUGGCACUGAGAUUCCAGGGGCUGCUCGUUCCUUUCUCUGGCUCAUCUGUGUAAGGAAGACUUUCCUCCGUGAGCCUUUCCACCAAGCUCAGGCCUGAGGCUUAGGAGAAAUGUGCGAGAUCCCGACAGCCUCGGAGGGAGUGAGGGGGCUUCGAGACCCUCAGGGCCACCUUAGGGGCCUCUACCAGGGAAGGAGAAAUGAUCUUGUUUCACCGGCCAGGGAGCCCUUCAGAAAUGCAAAUGUAACCGUUCACCUCCCCCUAGACAUUCCCUUCAGGGUAAUUCCCUUCAGGGCAAUUUCUUCAACGGCUCCAAGACAGAUCUUUUCCUUGAGAGCUGACAGUCGAUUUGCUGACAGUUGAUUUCCAGACUGAAGCGUACCUGCCACGGAACUUUUACCUCCAUGGGGUGACCUUAGAACUUCUGCUCUGCAAACUGGAAGUGACCUUCAUCCUCCAGGAGGGUAUGUCGAAAGCAUUCCCGCUUGGCCACUUUUACAAGUUAUUUCUGCCUGGGAAGGCACCAACUCAAUUAUCCAGUAGAUAAGAUACGGGGCAACAGGGGAACGCCUGCCUUGCAUACUUGCUCACCCCCGACCUUAUAAAAGUGUCCAUGUUACUGCUCCAAAGGUGAAGCAGCACAUGUAAAGGCAGGACGCGUUGUGUCCCUUCCCCAAGCUACCUUUGGAAUACAUUCACUUUUCUUACACCAGACCUCGCGCUUGUUCAUUGGACUCUGCAUGCGAUGAGCAACUAACCUGCUUUUCAGUUAUGCUUUGGAGCCAUGUUGUUUAGCACUUAGAAAAUAGAGGUGGGUCUGGGCGCGGUGGCUCAUGCCUAUAAUCGCAGCAUUUUGGGAGGCCGAGGUGGGUGGACCACUUGAGGUCAGGAAUUCAAGACCAACCUGGCCAACUUGGUGAAACCCUGUCUCUACUAAAAAUAGAAAAAAUGAGCCCAGCAUGGUGGCACAUCCCUGUAAUCCCAGUUACUCGGGAGGCUGAGGCAUGAGAAUUGCUUGAAUCCGGGAGGUAGAGGUUGCAGUGAGCCGGCAUCACGCCACUGCACUCCAGCCUGGGCCACAGAGUGAGACUCCAUCUCAAAAACAAAAAAAAAAAAAAAAAAAGAAAAAGAAAAUAGAGGGUGUCUGAUAAAAAUGUACCUUCUCUAGUGUGCAGCACAGUAAAUCCAGCACCCCAGAGAUGUCCUGCCUGGCUCCCUGGAACCCGUCUGUGCACAUGAUGAGAUGUCACCUCUGUAAUUAGCUUAGGUUACAUGGCACAAUUAGCCUUAAAAUAGGGAAAUAUUCUGGGUGAGCCUCAUCUAAUCCCAUGAGACCUUAAAAGCAGAGAGCUUUCUCCCACUGGUGGCAGAAGGAGAAGUCAGACUAGAAGCAGAAUUCACAUGCCAUUGUUGACCUGAAGACUGAGGGACAAGGUGGCAAGGAAUGAUAGCAAAUUCUAGAAGCUAACAGCAGCCCCUGGCUGGCAGCCAGCAAGGAAAUGGGAACUUCAUACUGAAUUCUGCCAGUAAUAGAAAUGAGCUUGGAAGAGGACCCUAAAUUCCAGGGGAGGGAUGCAGCUGGACAGAGAACCUAGCCAUGCUGUACUGGUCUCCUGACCUGUGGGACUGUGGCAAAAUAAAUGGAUGUUGUGUUAAAAAGAAAAAACCUAAACACUCAGAAAAAAAGAAAAAUGUUGGCAGUACAAAGAGAUAUUGCCAGAAACACAAAUAUAGUGAGUCUUUAACAUACUAUUUAACAACCUAGAAGAGAUUUAACUUACCAAAAUCAGAGACAUCAGGCCAGACAGGGUGGCUCACGCCUGUAAUCCCAGCACUUUGGGAAGCCAAGUGGGUGGAUCACUUAAGGCCAGGAGUUCAAGACAAACCUGACCAACGUGGUGAAACCCCAUCUCUACUGAAAAUACAAAAGUUAUCCGGGUGUGGUGGCAUGCACCUGUAAUCCCAGCUCCUUGGGAGGCUAAGGCAGAAGAAUCUCUUGAACCCGGGAGGCAGAGGUUGCAGUGAGCCUAGAUUCCACCACUGCACUCCAGCCUGGCCUGGACAACAGAGCAAGACUCUCUCAAAAAAAAUAAAAAUGAAAAUAAACCAAAGACAUCAAAGACCCAAACAAUACCAUGAGUAGUUUGAAUCAAAGAUCUGUAUCAAAUUCUGUACCACACACAGCUUGUAUCUUCUUUUUGCAUAUGAAACCUUUACCAUGUAUGUGUAUUAGAAGGAAAGACAACAUCAACUAUCCCCCAAGGCAGAAAUUAAACAGGCCAAACUCUAUGUCCACAAUAUACGGUAAAUCAGAAAUUACCCACAAAAUUAAACCAAACAAGAACAAUGACAAAAAUCCUAGCCUGUUUCUUAAAUAACUGUUGAGUCAAAGAGAAAGUAAAAACUAUAAUGGUUCAUUGUUUUGAAAUCGGGAAGACCACAUAAUUAUAUUUAAGGGAAUAAUGUCAGUUUACCUCAUUUUGACUUCAAGGGGUGUUACGUGUCAGGCCUUGGGCUUAAGGCUGUAGCUGCUGAACAUUGCCCAAUUUAACAACUAUAAAUGCAUUCAUUAUUGUAAAAAUAAAAAUAAAAACAAGUGAACUAAUGUUUCAACUCAACAUUGCACGAGAAGAAUUUUAUUUUUAUUUAUUUAUUUUUUUGAAACAGGGUCUCACUCCAUUGCCCAGGCUGGAGUGCAGUGGCACCAUCUUGGCUCACUGCAACCUCUGCCUUCCAGGCUGAAGAGCUCCUCCCACCUCAGCCUCCCCAGUGGCUGGGACUAUAGGCACGCCCUCCAGGCCUAGCUAAUUUUUAUAUUUUCGGUAGAGAUAGGGUUUUGCGAUGUUGCCCAGGCUGGUCUCAGUCUCCUGAGCUCAAUUCAUCUGUCCACCUCAGCCUCCCAAAGUGCUGAGACUACAGGCACGAGCCAGCACGCUGGGCCAGAAAAGAACUUUAUUUAUUUAUUUUUUUUUGAGACGGAGUCUUGCUCUGUCACCCAAGCUGGAGUGCAGUGGUGUGAUCUUGGCUCACUGCAACGUCCUCCGCCUCCUGGGUUCAAGUGAUUCCCCUGUCUCAGCCUCCUGAGUAGCUGGGAUUACAGGCACCUGCCACCACACCCAGCUAAUUUUUGUAUUUUUAGUAGAGACAGGGUUUCGCCAUGUUGGCCGGGCUGGUCUUGAACUCCUGACCUCAGGUGAUCUGCCCGCCUCGGACUCCCAAAGUGCUGGGAUUACAGGUGUGAGCCACCACGACCAGCCCAGAAAAGAACUUUAAAGCAGAGUAAAACAAAACCAGAAAAAAGAAAUAAUAAAGACAUAAGAGAGAUGAGUCAAAUUUAAUGAAUUUGAAAGGAGUAGAUAAAUUGUCGGUUAUUUUUUUAAAAAAGCAUUAAAAUAGCUAAACCUAUGCCAAAUUUAAUGAAAGACAAGUGUAAUUAGCAAGUUAAUUAAAUGCAGUUUAAAGUGUAAAAGUAUAAGAAUUAUAAUUCAUAUAUGAAUAGAUUUUUAAUUUUUUAUUCUUAAAAUUAAUUUUUUUUUUUUACAGAGUCCUGCUCUGUCGAACCAGGCUGGAGGGCAGUGGAGCGAUCAUAGCACACUGUAGCCUUGACCUCCUGGGCUCAAGCGAUCCUCUUGCCUCAGCCUCCUGGGUAGCUAGGACUACAGGCAUGUGGUACCACACCCUGCCAUGAGUAGAUUUUAAAUCUUGUUGAAAAGUAUGUGGCCUGAGCAACAUGGAAAAACCCCAUCUCUACUAAAAAUACAAAUAUUGGCCAGGCAUUGUAGCAUGCACCUGUAGUCUCAGCUACCUGGGAGGCUGAGGCAGGAGAAUUGCUUAAACCCGGGAGGCAGAGGUUGCAGUGAGCCGAGAUUGUGCCACUGUACUCCAGCCUUGGUGACAUAGUGAGAUUCUGUCUCAAAAAAAAAAGAAAAGUAUGGUUCAAAUAAACAAAAGGAAUAGAGUCAAAAAGAAAGGAAGCCAGGUGUGGCACACACCUGUACUCCCAUCUAUUAGGGAGGCUAAGGUAGGAGGCUCACUUGAGCCCAGGAAUUCAAAGCUGCAGUGAGCUGUGACCAUCGCACUGCACUCCAGCCUGUGCGACAGAGCCAGACCCUGUCUCUAAAAAUAAAGAAAACCCAUAUGCUCUCAUAAUCCAGGAACAAUUGGAAAGAGUUAUCAGUCACCUUCCCAGAGUCUCUGGAGACCAUUUGGGCAGUAAGUUCUUUCAGGCAGUAAGGUCUUUCAAACUCCCAAGAAACAACUAGUUCUAGCCUAUGAGCCCAUUUUUGCCAUGGCAAAAAAUGACAAGCUCUCCAAUUCAUUGUAUGAAAUUAAUAUAACACUGAUCCCAAAGCCAGCAAAUAGAGCACAGUUAAAUUACCCCUGAAUCCCACAAACUGCAUUGUAGCCAGAAGCCGCCUUGCUAUCCUGGUCUCAUAGCUUUCAGGUAUUUGGCUCCUCAUUUGUUCCUAAAUCCUACUGACAGGGACAUGAGGCGGGAAAAAAAAAAAAAAAAAGAAUCUGCCAAAGAUGGCCGGACUUCAGGGGAAGAUUACCUACCCCACAUCCCCCUUAACAGCUCCCCUUCCCACUGAAAGCCUUUUUUUUUUUUUUUUUUUUUUUUUUGAGAAGGAGUUUCACUCUGUCGCCCAGGCUGGAGUGCAGUGACACAUGCCCUCCAGGCCCAGCUAAUUUUUGUAUUUUCGGCUCACUGCAACCUCUGCCUCCCAGGUUCAAGCAAUUCUCCUGCCUCAGCCUCCCGAGUAGCGGGGACUACAGGCACGCGCCACCACACCCAGCUAAUUUUUGUAUUUUUAGUGGAGAUGGGGUUUCACCAUGUUGGCCAGGAUGGUCUCCAUCUCUUGACCUCGUGAUCCGCCCGCCUCAGCCUCCCAACGUGCUGGGAUUACAGGUGUGAGCCACGGUGCCCAAACCGAGCCAUUUUCAUUGGCAAUAAAAUCUCCCACAUUUACUAUCCUUCAAUUCGUUCGUGUGACCUCAUUUUUCCUGGAUGCCGGACAAGAGCUUAGGAGCCACAAGUGUGGAUACGAAAGGCUGUCACACUGGCCCUUCGCCCUCGCUAGCAGAGGGCAGCCAUGGGCCCACUGAGAGCUGUUAACACUUAAGCCGUCCGUGGACAGCAGAGCUAAAAGAGCACUCUAACAUGGCCUCCGGGGCCCCGGGAGUCGCAGGCACCCUGCCUGGACGCUGUUGUGGGGCCUGAACGAAGUUCACUGCUGCCGGCGCCCAAAAGCGCUCGCUCCAGCUCCUGCACCUGCUCAACUGUGUGCUCCCUUUCACGAGGGUCGGAAUGCGGUGGAUCUGAGAGAGUGGAGUCUGAUCCCGCCCGCACUGAAACAGCUGGCUGGUUCCAGCACUCCUGCGCUCCAGUUCCCGCCUCGUUUGCUGUGUGCUCCCUCCCACCAGCAGUUGAGAGCAGUGGGCUAAGUAAACUAGGCACCCCUGUCCAAAGUCCUGAGAAGGGCUCAAGGAACUAUCCUGCUUCACUAUUGAUCAGUGGUCUCCCUGUCAGGGGCAGAUCCGGCCUUCUCUUCUCAAAUUAUCCUGGGUGAUAAUACCCAUUGGGUUUGUCUCCUGGGUGAUUCCCUCCACGGCUGAACCUCACCCACUACCUUCUCGUCAGUGUCAUUGACUCUGCACACAGGUUACUGUUGCUCACCCACCACUGGUGCCUCUGACCCUUCUAGGACCAUCUAGGUUCCCCCUGAGUAACUCAGGGGCAUUGCUGACCAGCUGUGGACCAGAAGGCUCCCUUAGGGCACGUGCUGCAUGGUAGGGCUAACUGUGGCUGUCCCCCAAGACCUGUGGGGUCAGGCCCUUCCCUCUGAUGUUGGGGUUGGGGACCUUGCAGCGGAGUCAGAGGGAGAAGCUUCGUGUUCCCUCCACCCCAGGAUCCUCCACCGAAGUAAGUAAUUUGACACAGAGGAAACCAGAUGCACAAAAAUUAAAAGGAUAAACCGUAAUUCAGCUAAAAUACCCAAGGGUUGAAAUUGCCAAAG
rnacentral:lncRNA from 10 species